UGCCAGCCGCCGCGGUAAUGCGGAGGGGGCAAGCGUUGUUCGGAAUUACUGGGCGUAAAGGGCGCGUAGGCGGCCUGCCAAGUCGGGUGUGAAAGCCCUCGGCUCAACCGAGGGAUUGCACCCGAUACUGGCAGGCUCGAGUCCGGGCGGGGGUGGCGGAAUUCCAGGUGUAGUGGUGAAAUACGUAGAUAUCUGGAAGAACACCAGAGGCGAAGGCGGUCUCUUGGUCCGAAACUGACGCUGAGGCGCGAAGGCGUGGGUAGCGAACGGGAUUAGAUA
rnacentral:rRNA from 1 species